AAUGACACCUAUGAUCGUAUAAUUAAGCCAAUAAUGUAUAAAUGUUAGAAGACGUAGAACCAGAAAGGGACCAAUGGACAGAGGCAAGCUCAACAGGUCUCUGUGGACGAUUGCCACACUUUCACGAAAGAUCUUUCAAUCUGGUGCAGAACAUGAAACAGGGAGAAUGUAGCCGCAGUAGGUGUGUAUAAAGCAG